GCACGUACAGCAGUGCAGUCAAAACUUCGAAGCCUAGUCAGAAAUGCGUUCUCACGUCCUGAAGCCCUCCUCGGAAAGCGACGUACAGAGUUCCAGAGCUACAGAACGAAGGAAUGAUUCCAUAACUAACAAAGAACUCCUGCCUAACAAAACCUGUUCGCAACCUAAAUGUUCCAAGUGGCAAAUUGAAGCGUAGUAUGAUCCCGUGAUAUACCCAGGCAUUCGUCGAGAGCCAAAGACACAUAUCAACCUGCAUUUUCGUACAAUAUUCAAAGGACUCAAACAGAUUGCUGGAUUGGUAAGGAGAUACGCAACCGUUACGGGCUGCUUGAUUGACCGAGCAGCUUCCGUGAGCAUCAGAUUUGCAUUGGGAAUGUGGCAACUACUGCGGGAACGUGGCGGCGUUCAUACACCCCACUGAUUGAAUUCCAUUAUUGCUGCUACGUACAGUUUGCAACUGAUGCAAUGGUGCUGACGAUAUGACGUCGUAACCGCAGGGGCCACAACAGCCAGACGUUGCCGCUCUCACACAGCAUGCUGCACAGACCAGGAGAACGCACCUGUCGAUAAUGCUGAUCCCAGCUGCAUUUCCGCUCGUUGUGCCCAACGUAGGCAAAAGAAUGCUCCCGCGCGCUUUCCCAUUUGCUUGGUUUUGGCCAUGCAAGCUUCCCCCGGCUACCGAGGAA
rnacentral:lncRNA from 1 species